rnacentral:rRNA from 1 species
UACGUAGGUGGCAAGCGUUGUCCGGAUUUAUUGGGCGUAAAGCGAGCGCAGGCGGUUCCUUAAGUCUGAUGUGAAAGCCCACGGCUCAACCGUGGAAGGUCAUUGGAAACUGGGGAACUUGAGUGCAGAAGAGGAGAGUGAAAUUCCAUGUGUAGCGGUGAAAUGCGUAGAUAUAUGGAGGAACACCAGUGGCGAAGGCGACUCUCUGGUCUGUAACUGACGCUGAGGCUCGAAAGCGUGGGGAGCAAACAGGAUUAGAUA